UCUGGAGGACCAAGAAGGCUGAGUCUGAUGAAGCAAGACUUUGCUGAUCCACUCCUCCUAGACAAAGGGGUGGAGAAAGAACAGCCUUUCCUGGAGAAAACCGCAGGGCUGACAGUACUACCCAACAUUU